GGAGUUAGCCGGUGCUUCUUCUGUGAGUGAUGUCCUUCCUGCCGGUUAUUGACCCGCAGGCCUUCUUCCUCACUGAAAGUGCUUUACAACCCGAAGGCCUUCUUCACACACGCGGCAUGGCUGGAUCAGGGUUGCCCCCAUUGUCCAAUAUUCCCCACUGCUGCCUCCCGUAGGAGUCUGGGCCGUGUCUCAGUCCCAGUGUGGCUGAUCAUCCUCUCAGACCAGCUACGGAUCGUCGCCUUGGUGAGCCGUUACCUCACCAACCAGCUAAUCCGACAUAGGCUCAUCCGAUAGCGCGAGGCCCGAAGGUCCCCCGNUUUCCCCCGUAGGGCGUAUGCGGUAUUAGCCUGGGUUUCCCCCAGGUUAUCCCCCACUACCGGGGCAGAUUCCUAUGCAUUACUCACCCGUCCGCCGCUCGACCACCAGGGAGCAAGCUCCCCGUGCUGCCGCUCGACUUGCNUGUGUAGCUGCGCAGCGUCAUACUAGACAGAAUACAACUACUGA
rnacentral:rRNA from 1 species